rnacentral:sRNA from 16 species
CGAUUGGAAAGGUCCUUGCCUUGACAAGCAUCGGAUUGGAUGACGAGACAACCCUUUCGAAACACAUCUCCGACAAAAUGACCCACAACCGCAAACGAGGAGUAUUUCGCUUUG